UAAAUUCAUAGAAACGAUUGAAGAACAGUAGUGGUGUGAACGGCUGAAGAGAAACAGGGAGGGGAGUUUAGAGAGAAUGGCAGCGGCGCCAUUUCUACGCAACAGAUAUUGGAUUCUCAGGCAUGGCAAGAGCAUUCCCAAUGAGAAGGGCCUCAUCGUUUCUUCUAUAGAAAAUGGUACCCUCCCUGAGUAUCAACUGGUUUCUGAGGGCGUUGAACAGGCGCAGUUGGCUGGAGAACAAUUCUUAAAGGAGUUGAAGGAAAAUUGCAUACCGCUCGAAAAUGUUCGGAUUUGCUAUUCGCCAUUCUCAAGAACAAUCCAUACAGCUAAAGCGGCUGCAUCUGCACUGAAUCUUCCAUUUGAAAGCCCUCAGUGCAAGAUGAUGGAAGAUCUCAGGGAACGCUACUUUGGUCCUUCAUUGGAGUUCUUGUCUCAAGCCAAAUGUAAAGAAGUUGGGGCUGUUGAUGAGGAAGAUCCAUUCAAGCGCCCCGAAGGUGGAGAAAGCGUUGAAGAUGUUGCUUCAAGACUAGCCAAAACAGUGCUUCAAAUGGAGUCACAAUUUCAAGGGUGUGCCAUCUUGGUGAUCAGCCAUGGGGACCCCCUGCAAAUUUUGCAGACAGUGAUGGGAGCUGCCAUGGAUGAAAAUGGAUCGGGCUCUGAUGAAUUGGCAUCGAGAUUACAAGCCGCCAUCACCAAGCCUAUUCUCUCGCAGCACCGGAAAUUUUCUCUUCUCACCGGAGAACUUCGAGCUGUCGUUUGAAUUCCUGUAACUUCUCGCCGGACUUGUUGAAGAAGGUGACCUCAAGAAUCGUUGCUUCUUCAUCUUUUUUCCUUGGAAUUAAUGUUUUUAAUAUAUUGAAGGUUGAAUUUCAGGGUUAGGCAGCUGAGAAAAGUAAUUAUAUUCUUUGAUCAUGUAUUAAAAGUGGUGAUUUAUACUU